rnacentral:rRNA from 1 species
AUGUAUACUCUACCCCUGAAGGCACCAGAUCCUGUUUGAUCUUGGAAACUAAGCAGGUUAGCCCAGGAUAGUAUUUAUAUGGGAGACUAUCAACAAAUAGCAGGUGCUGUGUGUU